rnacentral:snRNA from 1 species
AUACUUGCCUGGCAGGGGAGAUCCAGUGAGGCUCGGCCAUUGCACUCCUACAAUGCUGGCCCCCCCUGCGAAUUUCCCAAAUGUGGGAAUCACAACUGCAUAAUUUGUGGUAGUUGGGGACUGCUUGCGUCUAGCCUGGC